AAGCGUUUCGUCUUGCUGAGGGCGGUGCCCCUGGGCCUCUUCCUUAAUGUGAGGAGUUAUUACUACUUUCUUGAGAACCUUGAUUCAUUUUUUUCAUACAAUUGUAAGGACCUUUUGCCUUACUCCCUUAGGCUGACAGUGUAAGGCAACCCUCUCAUCCCUCACAAAGUCCCUCUGCCUUCUGUAGUGGGUGGUGCACAGAUAGUCUGGAAAGCAAUUGGACUUCAAGUCCCAGAAGCCAUCAUUUCACAAUGUAACAAGGUGAGGGAGGGGCUGAAUUACACUGUGAGCCUAAGGGGGCAGGGGCACUAAUCCUAUGGAGCAUAGAGACAGACAGUGAUAGUUUCUGAUCUGUGAAAUCCAGUAUAUCUGUGUAAACAAUACAGUUGAAUUCAUUUCUGAAACUUCAGAUAGUGUUUAUUCACCUUUUCCACAUAACCUCAACUGAGAAACCACAGUGAGAAAUCCAAAGCUGUUUAUUAAACAUCCACUAAAUAUAAAAUAUGAUGAAUAGAAUUGUAUUUUUUAAUACCCAUACACUAAAGCUUUAAUAGGGGGACAGUCAUUUCUACACUAAAAAUGUUUGGUAUACCUAAACCUCGAAAUCACCAAAUGAUUUGUUUUCCUCCAAAAAAAACACAUUGCAUCUCUCUAGCAAGCAUAGUGUUGUUAACCUGUCAUUUGUAGCAAUAAAAUGAAUAUGUUAACACAGCCAGUAUUGUGAAAUGAGUAGAGGAGCUGCUAUUAUACUGUGGCCCAGCCCUGGAUAUUAGUUGUCUUUUAGGAACUCCCUAUAACACAGUGAAGAGUCAUAUUCACCCCACACCCUUUAGGAAGCAGGACUUCCUGGGUGAUUGUGCAGAAGAAAGGACAGUAGAACGUGGAAUCUGCACACUUUCACUGUCAGGGUUUUGCUUUAAAGCUGAUGAUCUGCUGGGCCAACAAAUCUAUGGCCACGACUUUGGUUUCCAGCCCCAAAAGAAAAGUAACAGUAAACUUUAUUCCUUGUUGUACCUGCUGUUGCCGAAAUAGAUUUCGCCAAUGACAGAUUCCAGGAAAGAGAUGUAGAACUCUGCGUUCAGAUUCAUGUAAUGCCCAACCAUUUGUACUGCUCCCCUACUAAGAGCCGCUUCUUCCACCAGAAUUCUUUGAUACUGGCCCACUUAUCUUACAAAGUCAAUUGAACUAAAAGUUGGGGUACGGUAAGCUAUGAAUAUUCACAGUUUUUUGGACAUUAUGAAGGGUUGCUUCUACUGUUUGGACGUGUAACUUGGAGUACCUAACGAGUGGAAGAAGGAAGCACUUGGCAGCACUUACAAAUUAAUUAUACUAAUUUACAGGGGUGGAGCUGUAAGGUGGGGUUGGUUUUAUAAGGUGUGUUUGUAUUUUUGUAUUUCACUUGAUAAAGGAUCCUUGGGAUCCGAAACAUGUUGUGAUGCAAUAAAUAAUUAUUUGCGGCAGAGACUGCGUCUUAUGUGCUCCAUCCAUACCUUUUGUUUGCUGAAAUUGUCUAUGGGUCUUCUGGUGUGGCCUGACUGGAGAGUGAGCACGAUACACAGGUGAAGGUGACUGAAUUUACUCAAAGUUUGAGCUCAGAUUACAGCAGGGAUGGGAGGAGGGAGGGGGAAAGGAGCAAACUGAGCAU